GAUGAACGCUAGCUACAGGCUUAACACAUGCAAGUCGAGGGGCAGCAUGACGAUAGCUUGCUAUUGUUGAUGGCGACCGGCGCACGGGUGAGUAACGCGUAUCCAACCUGCCCUUGUCCAUCGGAUAACCCGUCGAAAGGCGGCCUAACACGAUAUACAGUUCUCGGCAGGCAUCUAACGAGAACGAAAUGUGAAGGAGAAGGAUGGGGAUGCGUCUGAUUGGCUUGUUGGCGGGGUAACGGCCCACCAAGGCGACGAUCAGUAGGGGUUCUGAGAGGAAGGUCCCCAACAUUGGAACUGAGACACGGUCCAAGCUCCUACGGGAGGCAGCAGUGAGGAAUAUUGGUCAAUGGACGGAAGUCUGAACCAGCCAAGUAGCGUGCAGGAUGACGGCCCCAUGGGUUGUAAACUGCUUUUAUACGGGGAUAAAGUGAGGGACGUGUCCCUUAUUGCAGGUACCGUAUGAAUAAGGACCGGCUAAUUCCGUGCCAGCCGCCGCCGUAAUAC
rnacentral:rRNA from 1 species